rnacentral:rRNA from 1 species
CCUACGGGAGGCAGCAGUGAGGAAUAUUGGUCAAUGGUCGGGAGACUGAACCAGCCAAGCCGCGUGAGGGAUGAAGGUACAGAGUAUCGUAAACCUCUUUUGUCAGGGAACAAAGGCGGGGACGUGUCCCCGGCUGAGUGUACCUGAAGAAAAAGCAUCGGCUAACUCCGUGCCAGCAGCCGCGGUAAUACGGAGGAUGCGAGCGUUAUCCGGAUUUAUUGGGUUAAAAGGGUGCGCAGGCGGUCUGUUAAGUCAGCGGUCAAAGCCCGGGGCUCAACCCCGGCCCGCCGUUGAAACUGGCAGUCUCGAGUUGGAGAGAAGUAGGCGGAAUGCGCGGUGUAGCGGUGAAAUGCAUAGAUAUCGCGCAGAACUCCGAUUGCGAAGGCAGCAUGCCGGCUCCACACUGACGCUGAGGCACGAAAGCGUGGGUAUCGAACAGGAUUAGAUACCCGGGUAGUC